AAUUGAUGAUGAGGACAGCUUGCCACCAAUCUCUUGUAUCGCUCCCAACAUUCAUACAAAGAUUCUCCAAUGUUUUGUUUAAUCCCACAUAUCUCUUUGCGAAUU